rnacentral:lncRNA from 1 species
AAUGACCAGAAAUGCAAAAAUAUUUCAAGAAACUAUGGGAUAUUUUCUCGUCGUAGUCAACAUGAGACACAUUCUCUUCAAGGUUCUACCGAAAAGCAAAGAGGGGGUGAUCGGAAAGGAGCAAAAUGUUCAAGAAAACUCUUAAUGACUAACUAAAAAUGAAGGUUUUUCUAAUAAAGGCAAGUGCCAAAAUGUACCGUAUAAAUAUAUUUUGUGAUUAUGCAUGUAAUAAUUAAUAAACGUUUUAAAAUUCAAA